AGACCCGAAACCCGGUGAUCUAGCCAUGGGCAGGUUGAAGGUUGGGUAACACUAACUGGAGGACCGAACCGACUAAUGUUGAAAAAUUAGCGGAUGACCUGUGGCUGGGGGUGAAAGGCCAAUCAAACCGGGAGAUAGCUGGUUCUCCCCGAAAGCUAUUUAGGUAGCGCCUCGUGAACUCAUCUCCGGGGGUAGAGCACUGUUUCGGCUAGGGGGCCAUCCCGGCUUACCAACCCGAUGCAAACUGCGAAUACCGGAGAAUGUUAUCACGGGAGACACACGGCGGGUGCUAACGUCCGUCGUGAAGAGGGAAACAACCCAGACCGCCAGCUAAGGUCCCAAAGUCAUGGUUAAGUGGGAAACGAUGUGGGAAGGCCCAGACAGCCAGGAUGUUGGCUUAGAAGCAGCCAUCAUUUAAAGAAAGCGUAAUAGCUCACUGGUCGAGUCGGCCUGCGCGGAAGAUGUAACGGGGCUAAACCAUGCACCGAAGCUGCGGCAGCGACACUUUAGUGUUGUUGGGUAGGGGAGCGUUCUGUAAGCCGUUGAAGGUGUCCUGUGAGGGGUGCUGGAGGUAUCAGAAGUGCGAAUGCUGACAUAAGUAACGAUAAAGCGGGUGAAAAGCCCGCUCGCCGGAAGACCAAGGGUUCCUGUCCAACGUUAAUCGGGGCAGGGUGAGUCGACCCCUAAGGCGAGGCCGAAAGGCGUAGUCGAUGGGAAACGGGUUAAUAUUCCCGUACUUGGUGUUACUGCGAAGGGGGGACGGAGAAGGCUAUGU
rnacentral:rRNA from 1 species